GUCUACGCGCAUACCACCCUGAAUGCACCCGAUCUCGUCUGAUCUCAGAAGCUAAGUAGGGUCAGGCCUGGUAGGUACUUGGACA
rnacentral:rRNA from 1 species